AAAACUUAAGAAAGAAUGUUUAUUCUAUUAAUUU
rnacentral:tRNA from 1 species